UUUUUAAUCAUUAUCAGCAGUCUUCCUUAACUGAACAUCUUGUGAUCAGAAGUCUCUACAACUAAAUGAGCACUUUGGUAGAACAGACAUUUUCCAGGAUUAUCUGUGUUUGACAUACUUGCCUAUU